rnacentral:lncRNA from 1 species
UAAUGCUCCCAUCACAAUUGGAAUUUGCAAAGUAUUAUAGAGUAUAAAGAAGAACAAAACAUAAACUUUAAAAUGAAGGUUUUGUUUCUUUGUGUUCUUCUUCUAAGUAUGGCUAUGCUGAACCAAGGUGUCAUGGGUUUGAACAUAAAAGGUGAAUUAUGUAAAAUAACUAGAAAUAGAAUGACUGGUUGUGUAGAAAAUGAGAAACCUCAUUUCAAGAAACCAAUUUCUAACACUGG